rnacentral:rRNA from 1 species
UACGGAGGGGGCGAGCGUUGUUCGGAGGUACUGGGCGUAAAGCGCACGUAGGCGGUGCGGUAAGUCAGGGGUUAAAGGCUGCAGCUCAACUGCAGUAAGGCCUCAGAUACUAUCGUGCUAGAGUGCCGGAGAGGGUAGCGGAAUUCCCUGUGUAGCGGUGAAAUGCGUAGAUAUAGGGAGGAACACCAGUAGCGAAGGCGGCCAUCUGGCUGAUAACUGACGCUGAGGUGCGAGAGCGUGGGGAGCAAACAGG